CCCUUAGAUGUUCUGGGCCGCACGCGCGCUACACUGAUGCAUUCAACGAGUCUAAAACCUGGUCUGAUAGGGCUGGGUAAUCUUUUGAAAGUGCAUCGUGUUUGGGAUAGAUGAUUGCAAUUCUUCAUCUUCAACGAGGAAUGCCUAGUAAACGCAAGUCAUCAGCUUGCAUUGAUUACGUCCCUGCCCUUUGUACACACCGCCCGUCGCUCCUACCGAUUGAAUGAUCCGAUGAAUACCAUGGAUUGAGAGUACGAAUGGGUUCGCUCAUUUCUGCUGCUCGAGAAGUGGAGUAAAUCUUAUCAUUUAGAGGAAGGAGAAGUCGUAACA
rnacentral:rRNA from 1 species